rnacentral:lncRNA from 1 species
UAAAAUAAUAAUUAUUUUUUAAUAACUUUACAAAUAUUAAUUAUUUUUUAAUUUCCCGUAAAAAAAUUGGCUAACUUGUGCUAUUUUCACUAAUACCGCAAAAACACGAGUGAAGGCGUAAUAAAGUUGUAAAAUUGCCAAGUUAAACCAACUCAUCGCCACUGCAAACACGGACCACAUCCCAGAAGCCAGAAACCGAUUCGAAUCUAAGGAGAAUUUUGGCGGGUAAAUGGAGCUCCUGAAGCUCUCCAAAUUCAAGCUCCAACUCCACGCCCUAAUUUCUGAAGUUCGUGAACUCAAAGUAAAAUCGCCAUUUUCAUCAUCACCUCUCAUCUCCAUAACUGAUCAUCAAUUUUCUACGUUACCGCUCAAAACAGUUUCUAUGAACUUUUAUUGCAGGAAAAAGAAGGCAACGCGUCUCAACAAAUCCAAAUUUCGGUCCAGGUAUUAGAAUAUAAUUGUGUGUAUCUUUUUAUUAUUGGUAGAAUAUUGUCUCAUUAUUGUUCAGUCCUAUAGUUGGUAGGAUUUGAUUUCCUUUAUUAUUGUACAGUCCUAUAGUUGGUAGGAUNNN